ensembl:lincRNA
AUGUGUCAGUUGAGGGAUUCAGUCUUUUCACCACCCUGCUGCUGGGGGCAGGCGAGCAGUAUAUUUCAGAGAUGCAUCUUAAGAUGCGGAGUCAUCACGGUCUUCAGGUUGGGUGCUGAAGGAAUCCAGUCCAGGAGCCACUGUCCCCCUGUUUCCCUCAGCAGUGACACUUUCAGGAAGCUGGCCGGUGCUCUUCACAGCUUCCUCCUUGGGUCAGGCAGUGAGGAGGACUUUGCCAAUAUGGAGCCGAGCUGAACACAGUUCAGCCCCGCUGGCUGAUUUUCAGACACUGCUCUGUUCUGGAAUGUGGCUUGGAUUACGGGCUUUGUUGGGAUGUCCCUCUAGUCGAGGUCAUGGCUUUGUCAGCAGAGACACAGCUGUGUGUCGCCAUGGAGGGCUGCCAGGCCCGGCCUCCUGCACGCUCGCAAACACGCCCUGGCGUCGCGUGGCGUUGCAGGUUUCUUGAUUUAUCUCAGAGUUUCAGUGUGAUUAAUGGCAUUUACAACAUUUUGUAUCAUUUUGAAGGCGAUUAAGGACUUCACCCGACGCAGGUCUAAAAGUGCAGCAUCACUGACCCCUUAAAGCACAAAACAGUGUAGAGUUAUAAUAAAGAAGUCAUUUGCAAAGAAUGUACGGCAAGCAAUGAAACUAAAUAUACAGGUAUUGGGGAGGUUUCUCUUGCAAAUGAGUGAUAUACAGCAUAAUUCAAAGUAUUCCACAAUAUUACCCCUUAUAAAUUUUUGUGACUAAUAGUCAGUAGUUCCUUCUAUGUCAAAUGCUGUACAGAAAUGCUAAUGAGAGCUAAUAAGCACCUUUGUGUCAUGGGACUAUAUACUGUCAGGAGACUUGUGCAGGAGAGAAGUUACCCAGUGAUGCAGUUUUGCUAUUAUAGCUGACUGAGCAGGUAUUGUGUAAUGUCUGAUCUUAAAUGUGCAUAUUUUUAGUAUAAGAAAAAAUAAAGAACUGGAUGUAAGGACUGGGAUGUAGUAUGAAGACAUGCUUAUUUUUUAUUUCACCUACUAAGCUCAGAUAAAUCCCCCCCCCCCCACACUUGCCAUUUGCUUCUCUCAUCACUUGCUGUAACAUGAUUCUUGUUGGAGGGGUGGUGGUCAGUGCUGCAGGUCACUGCUCUUGGGUCCAGGGUCCCUGAUAUAAGGGGAAGCUAUGUGAGCCUCCCCUGUUCUCACGCAGGGGUUUGUGCACCGAAGGCUGGCUGUCCAGGCUAGCUGGCAACUCGACAUUGCCCCCUCGCAGGUGCCUGAGUGCUUGUGUCCUGCAGUGGACUGGCAUCGUGUCCGGUGCCUGGUCCUGCCUUGUGCCCUGUUCCUGUCGGAUUAGGCUCCCCAUGACUCUCUGAAGGGGUUUCUGUCGUGCAUGGAUGGAUUAUUCUUUCGGCACUUUAAAAGCAGUUCGCAAUGUACGGAGAAGGAGAGAAGAGAUUAUUUCUUGGGGGUUAAAAUUGCAUGUGCAGCAUCCUGGUAGUGGUGUUACUCAGGAGAGCAGCAGAUCUUGCUAUGGACAACUGGAUUGUGCCUUUUGCAAACUUCAGAGUCUUCAUAAGUGUUAAACAUGAAGCAUUUGAGCUCAAGAAUGUGAGAGACAAACAACGCAUGUGCAUGACAUUUAAUUUUGAACAGCACAGGAUAUCAAAACCAGUUAGGUUGUUAAAUUUAGAAUCUCCAAUUAUUUUU